GACAGAGGGUGCAAACGUUGUUCGGAAUUACUGGGCGUAAAGCGAGUGUAGGCGGCUUGGCAAGUCGGAUGUGAAAGCCCCAGGCUCAACCCGGGAAGUGCACUCGAUACUGCUUAGCUUGGGUGUCGGAGAGGUUGGUGGAAUUCUCGGUGUAGAGGUGAAAUUCGUAGAUAUCGAGAGGAACAUCGGCGGCGAAGGCGGCCAACUGGACGAACACUGACGCUGAGACUCGAAAGCGUGGGGAGCGAACGGG
rnacentral:rRNA from 1 species